rnacentral:rRNA from 1 species
GUCCACGCCCUAACGAUGCGAACUAGGUGUUGGGAAGGAGACUUUCUUAGUACCGCAGCUAACGCGUGAAGUUCGCCGCCUGGGGAGUACGGUCGCAAGAUUAAACUCAAAGGAAUUGACGGGACCCGCACAAGCGGUGGAUGAUGUGGAUUAAUUCGAUGCAACGCGAAACCUUACCUACCCUUGACAUGUCAGGAAUUCUGCUGAGAGGUGGAAGUGCCCGAAAGGGAACCUGAACACAGGUGCUGCAUGGCUGUCGU